GGAGAACAGGACUUACGACUUUCAGACGGUUCAAGCCAUCAGAAUCUGGUUUACUGUCACCAAAAACUUCCAAAACCUCUUCUCUUGCCUUAGUCUGCCAAUGUGGAUGCCUUGCCAACAAAAUCAUUGUCCAAACCAGCAAAACGGAGGUGGUCUCUUGGCCAGCAAAGUAAAACAGCUUGCACUCCUCAAUCACAUCUUCAAUGCUCAUUCCCAUGUUCUUGUGAUCCCCUUGUUCUUGAAUUUCUCUAAUGUUGGAUUCUACAAGUAUGCCUAACAAGUCAUCAUUACUGACUUCACUCGCCUUAGUUGCCUCCUCUCUUUUCUUUAUCAUUCCCUUCAGUGAGUCUUUUAUAUCUUUGGCAAUCACCUUCAUCUUCCUGUUUGUCUUAGUUGGUAGAUACCUAAUAAGACAAAUGUAAAAUAUAGCUUUUAGCACAUAAAGAAGAAAAUCCUUGACCAAAAUGGAUUGAACUGUGAAAAAUAACAAAUUUUACCUCCAUCCCGGAAUGUAAGCUGACUGUACCACUUGCAUUGUAAGACUGGUUUGAUCCUCUAGUAGUUGGAAAAUUCGUCUACCUUCUUCGUAGCUGCUUCCAAAUGCUGCUCGGGAAAUCACAUCUCUUGUCAAUUUUACGAGGUAAGGCCACACAUCUAACUCACUAGACCCCUCUAAGAAAACCAGCUUCUCCCAUUUGCUGAUCAUCUCAAUACAACUUUGAUAGAAAGCUGGCAACAUGUUCUGUAAUGAUUUCCACAUCAGGAUAAGAUUACUGUCAUUGGUACUAUUUUUGAACAAUUAAUACAUGUAUAUACUAAGUACUCAUUAACACCGUAAGCAAAUUUGGGAUGAAAUAAGUUAAUUUUGGUGCAGGGAGCCAUAAAUUUUCCUCGAUGUUUCUCCAUUAUUACUGCAUUUUCCAGGUGUUCCCAUAAAGGCUUCCUCACCAGCCACAACACUCAAAACAAACCAAGGAAGGAAUACCCAGUGCUACUCUGACUCAGUUGCAAUAAUUACCUCACCCAGGAUAAUUAAAGGAUGCAUAUUGAUAAAGAAAUCAAAAGUGGAAAUAGAACAUGCCUUCAACUUAUCUUGAUGAAAUGCAGGGUUGAUGAUCUUUCUAUGCUUAGCCCACUCCUCUCCAUCGAGGUUUACAAGUCCACUUACAAGUAAGGUGACAAGAGGGUUGCUAUGCGGCUUCUGAAAGUCAUUGAAUUUGGUAAAUAUCUCUCUUAUUUCUUCAGGUUCCAUGAUGGUCACCCUUGGAAUCGGACCAACCCAAGAAAAAGAACUCUUGCCUGCAUUUUCCCCAGAUUUCAUAUCAAAGCAUUGGGAAUUAAAAUUUUAAUUCAAAGAUUAAUUAAAUGCUUUCAGUGUGUUUAAUUACUCAAUUUUGAAUAUUCCUUUAAUAAAAUGUUAGGUUGUUGGAAUCUGCCUCAUGUACUUAACCAAUAUUUUAUAAUUCUUGUAUUUGAAUACUUAUGUUAUCCAUUAAACUUUUCAAUGCCAUUAAAACAGUAAUAAAAAUUUAUUCAAUAAUCAUUUUUGAUAAUGUACAGAAAGAAGAAGAAUUGAACAAUUAUUAACCCAAACAUGUCAUCAUACCCAACUUCAGCAAAAUGGCUUGUGGGCUCCAAUGGACUUUUGGCUUAUCCGUCACUUUCAUGUAUUUUUUAGUUUUUCUCCCAUUUGCCAUUUCAAUAUUAAAAUACUCCGGGAAAAAAAUUGGCUUAAAUUACUCAUACUAAACUUGAAUUAUGUUGUUCAGAAAAGAUUUUCCUAUAUUUUUUGAUCUAAAUUUAAACAUUUUCUUUCUGAUAGUAUUUCUUUCAAUUAAUCACUGUUUUCACUGAAUAAAACUUCGCAUGUUCAACAAUCACAGUAAUUGACACAUAUCAUUAAAAUAAUCAUCGAUUAAAUGGAUUCAUUUAAUUAUGUAUCAAAAAAUUGAUACAAAAUUAAAUACAUGUUAAAACUGAACGGACUAAAACCAUUUUUCAUGUUACUAAGAUGGAACAAAACACUAAAAAUUUUGUAAUAAAAUCAUAAUUUGAUCCAAAAAGACAACAUUCAAACUAUUAAGGGAUGAAAGAAGACCAUUUCCAAUUUAGGCAUACCAUAAUUCUUGACAGUUUGAUGAAGGAAAGGACCAACAUAUUGCGUAAUAUCAUCACCGAGGGGCAUAGGUUGGGAUCUUGCUUGUCUGCUCAUGGCGAAGCUCUCUUUGAUAUCUCCAGACAAAAACCUGUAAGAAUUGCCUGUAAGACCCUGUUGCCUCAGGCACCUUUCCAGCCUCUUUGGCUUCACCCACACCCAGUCUACGAUUCUCCAUCCCCAUAUCAAUAUCCCAACAACAAGGAAAGAAAGCGAAAUUCCAAUUACAGGGGGCACCUCCAUUUUUCUUUGCUGAGAAAAUGGUGUCUGAAGAGUAAGUGGGUUGUUUACGGAAGAGUAGACAAAGACUGAGGUUGGUUUAUGGGGUAAAAAGCUUGUGCAAUGGGCAAAGACAAAUGGUUGAUGUUACAGCUGAUAAGAGGUUCCUGGUGUCAAGGCAGGCGACGUGUACCUAAAUAUGACGAUUUAUGUUUUCGUAUCGUAAACGUAUCAAACACGAUUAGACACGAAAUAUAUUAAAAUUAAAUAUAAAUAUGAUAUAUUUAAUAUUCGUAUUUUAAAUUUAAAAUAUAUACACAUAUACGUUUAAUAAACGUAUAACAUGACACGACACGAUUAACACAUUUAUUAAACGUGUCAAUUUAUAACACGAUACGAUUAAUAAUACGUUUAACAUAAUUAUAUAAAAAUAUUUAAAAUUAAAUAUAAUUUUAUUAUUUAAAUUUAAAAUCUAUAAUUAUAAAAAUAAUUAUAAUAAAACAAAAAAAAAUAAUAUCAAAUAUAAUGAAAUUUAAUAUAAAUCACAUAUGCAAAAUUUAUUAUCAUAUAAUAUGAUAAAAUACAUCAUUAACAUCUAACUUUCAAAUACUAAUAAUAUAAAAAAUCAUUCAUAAUUUUUAAUCAUAAUAAUUACAUUAUUACAUUUAUAAAAUUAAAAAAACUUAUUAAAAUAAUUAUUUAAAAUUAUUUAUAUAAAACUAAAAUAAUCUUUAAUAAUUAUUUUUAAUAAGUUAAUAAACGUGUUACAUAUACACAUUUAAAUACGAUAACACGAUUAAAAAAAUAUAUUUAAAUGUGUUUGUCGUGUCUGACACGUUAAGACAAAAUUCAAACCAAAUUAAGAGUUUUUUUUUUGAAAUUCAAACCAAAUUAAGAGUCUAGUGUUAACAUUACACCAGCAACAAAAUUCAACUAGGAUGGGAAACACCCAAAACCUCUAUUUAGGGGUUUGAAAGCCCUUGUUUCCAGUGUUUGAAGAAAUCUGAAAAAUGGUACAAAAUUAACCAAUGGUUUAUUGGUUUUCAGAUUUAGACAAGUGAACUUAGAGUAACUUAUGUGAGACUUCGGAUACUCUUGAACCUUGAGCCAAUUAGAUAUUUCACAGACAGAUUGGUUCUCCUGAGUUUAAUUUUCAAUGUCUCAAAAGAUCUUUUUUGUUGCUUAAAAGAGAAAGCACCAUAGUUGAGGUCUAGCAAUUCAUCCCAUAAGUACAUGCUUCAUUGAGAGUUUGAGACUUGGCCCCUACGCUUGUAUUUGAAUUGUGUUACACUAUGAACGCUAGAUUUUGAUUAACAUUUACAUGAUGAACGAUGAACGUGAUUAUUGAUUGGGUUGUUUAACAUAUAACCUGAUGGUUUUACCACUAGAGUUUAUGUAAAAUUAUGUGAGCACCAUGCUGUGGACGUAGAGUGAUGUUGGUGCAGGGAGAGUGAGCAUAGGAAGGGGAAAGCUCGAACCAGAAUUGUCUGAGGAUCAUUGCAAGCGCCAUUUUUGCUUCCAUCAGAGCAAAGUUCUGUCCAAUGCAGAUUCUAGGACCCCAUCCAAAAGGGAAAUAUAUGACUUGACUCUUUGUUGCUUUCGAAACCCCUUCCGAGAACCUGUCAGGAUUGAACUCAUGUGCAUCAUCGCCCCAAAGUUCUUGAUCAUGGUGAAUCAGCAGCACUGGCAGCGUAAUUUCUGCGCCAGCUGGUAACAACAAUUUUCCCAGUCUCGUAUCUUUCGGAACGGAGCGCCCUAGUGCAACGACUGCCGGGUACAGCCUAAGAACCUCGUGCAAGAUCAUUGUUACCUGUGGCAUUGAAUCAAUUAAAGUAAAUAUAGAAAAAUGUGCUCUUAAUUUGGUCCAUUAUAAUCGGAGAACAGGACUUACGACUUUCAGACGGUUCAAGCCAUCAGAAUCUGGUUUACUGUCACCAAAAACUUCCAAAACCUCUUCUCUUGCCUUAGUCUGCCAAUGUGGAUGCCUUGCCAACAAAAUCAUUGUCCAAACCAGCAAAACGGAGGUGGUCUCUUGGCCAGCAAAGUAAAACAGCUUGCACUCCUCAAUCACAUCUUCAAUGCUCAUUCCCAUGUUCUUGUGAUCCCCUUGUUCUUGAAUUUCUCUAAUGUUGGAUUCUACAAGUAUGCCUAACAAGUCAUCAUUACUGACUUCAC
rnacentral:lncRNA from 1 species